GGUUAAGCGACUAAGCGUACACGGUGGAUGCCCUGGCAGUCAGAGGCGAUGAAGGACGUGCUAAUCUGCGAUAAGCGUCGGUAAGGUGAUAUGAACCGUUAUAACCGGCGAUUUCCGAAUGGGGAAACCCAGUGUGUUUCGACACACUAUCAUUAACUGAAUCUAUAGGUUAAUGAGGCGAACCGGGGGAACUGAAACAUCUAAGUACCCCGAGGAAAAGAAAUCAACCGAGAUUCCCCCAGUAGCGGCGAGCGAACGGGGAGGAGCCCAGAGCCUGAAUCAGUGUGUGUGUUAGUGGAAGCGUCUGGAAAGGCGCGCGAUACAGGGUGACAGCCCCGUACACAAAAAUGCACAUGCUGUGAGCUCGAUGAGUAGGGCGGGACACGUGGUAUCCUGUCUGAAUAUGGGGGGACCAUCCUCCAAGGCUAAAUACUCCUGACUGACCGAUAGUGAACCAGUACCGUGAGGGAAAGGCGAAAAGAACCCCGGCGAGGGGAGUGAAAAAGAACCUGAAACCGUGUACGUACAAGCAGUGGGAGCACGCUUAGGCGUGUGACUGCGUACCUUUUGUAUAAUGGGUCAGCGACUUAUAUUCUGUAGCAAGGUUAACCGAAUAGGGGAGCCGAAGGGAAACCGAGUCUUAACUGGGCGUUAAGUUGCAGGGUAUAGACCCGAAACCCGGUGAUCUAGCCAUGGGCAGGUUGAAGGUUGGGUAACACUAACUGGAGGACCGAACCGACUAAUGUUGAAAAAUUAGCGGAUGACUUGUGGCUGGGGGUGAAAGGCCAAUCAAACCGGGAGAUAGCUGGUUCUCCCCGAAAGCUAUUUAGGUAGCGCCUCGUGAAUUCAUCUCCGGGGGUAGAGCACUGUUUCGGCAAGGGGGUCAUCCCGACUUACCAACCCGAUGCAAACUGCGAAUACCGGAGAAUGUUAUCACGGGAGACACACGGCGGGUGCUAACGUCCGUCGUGAAGAGGGAAACAACCCAGACCGCCAGCUAAGGUCCCAAAGUCAUGGUUAAGUGGGAAACGAUGUGGGAAGGCCCAGACAGCCAGGAUGUUGGCUUAGAAGCAGCCAUCAUUUAAAGAAAGCGUAAUAGCUCACUGGUCGAGUCGGCCUGCGCGGAAGAUGUAACGGGGCUAAACCAUGCACCGAAGCUGCGGCAGCGACGCUUAUGCGUUGUUGGGUAGGGGAGCGUUCUGUAAGCCUGUGAAGGUGUACUGUGAGGUAUGCUGGAGGUAUCAGAAGUGCGAAUGCUGACAUAAGUAACGAUAAAGCGGGUGAAAAGCCCGCUCGCCGGAAGACCAAGGGUUCCUGUCCAACGUUAAUCGGGGCAGGGUGAGUCGACCCCUAAGGCGAGGCCGAAAGGCGUAGUCGAUGGGAAACAGGUUAAUAUUCCUGUACUUGGUGUUACUGCGAAGGGGGGACGGAGAAGGCUAUGUUGGCCGGGCGACGGUUGUCCCGGUUUAAGCGUGUAGGCUGGUUUUCCAGGCAAAUCCGGAAAAUCAAGGCUGAGGCGUGAUGACGAGGCACUACGGUGCUGAAGCAACAAAUGCCCUGCUUCCAGGAAAAGCCUCUAAGCAUCAGGUAACAUCAAAUCGUACCCCAAACCGACACAGGUGGUCAGGUAGAGAAUACCAAGGCGCUUGAGAGAACUCGGGUGAAGGAACUAGGCAAAAUGGUGCCGUAACUUCGGGAGAAGGCACGCUGAUAUGUAGGUGAAGUCCCUCGCGGAUGGAGCUGAAAUCAGUCGAAGAUACCAGCUGGCUGCAACUGUUUAUUAAAAACACAGCACUGUGCAAACACGAAAGUGGACGUAUACGGUGUGACGCCUGCCCGGUGCCGGAAGGUUAAUUGAUGGGGUCAGCGCAAGCGAAGCUCUUGAUCGAAGCCCCGGUAAACGGCGGCCGUAACUAUAACGGUCCUAAGGUAGCGAAAUUCCUUGUCGGGUAAGUUCCGACCUGCACGAAUGGCGUAAUGAUGGCCAGGCUGUCUCCACCCGAGACUCAGUGAAAUUGAACUCGCUGUGAAGAUGCAGUGUACCCGCGGCAAGACGGAAAGACCCCGUGAACCUUUACUAUAGCUUGACACUGAACAUUGAGCCUUGAUGUGUAGGAUAGGUGGGAGGCUUUGAAGUGUGGACGCCAGUCUGCAUGGAGCCGACCUUGAAAUACCACCCUUUAAUGUUUGAUGUUCUAACGUUGACCCGUAAUCCGGGUUGCGGACAGUGUCUGGUGGGUAGUUUGACUGGGGCGGUCUCCUCCUAAAGAGUAACGGAGGAGCACGAAGGUUGGCUAAUCCUGGUCGGACAUCAGGAGGUUAGUGCAAUGGCAUAAGCCAGCUUGACUGCGAGCGUGACGGCGCGAGCAGGUGCGAAAGCAGGUCAUAGUGAUCCGGUGGUUCUGAAUGGAAGGGCCAUCGCUCAACGGAUAAAAGGUACUCCGGGGAUAACAGGCUGAUACCGCCCAAGAGUUCAUAUCGACGGCGGUGUUUGGCACCUCGAUGUCGGCUCAUCACAUCCUGGGGCUGAAGUAGGUCCCAAGGGUAUGGCUGUUCGCCAUUUAAAGUGGUACGCGAGCUGGGUUUAGAACGUCGUGAGACAGUUCGGUCCCUAUCUGCCGUGGGCGCUGGAGAACUGAGGGGGGCUGCUCCUAGUACGAGAGGACCGGAGUGGACGCAUCACUGGUGUUCGGGUUGUCAUGCCAAUGGCACUGCCCGGUAGCUAAAUGCGGAAGAGAUAAGUGCUGAAAGCAUCUAAGCACGAAACUUGCCCCGAGAUGAGUUCUCCCUGACUCCUUGAGAGUCCUGAAGGAACGUUGAAGACGACGACGUUGAUAGGCCGGGUGUGUAAGCGCAGCGAUGCGUUGAGCUAACCGGUACUAAUGAACCGUGAGGCUUAACCUUACAACGCCGAAGGUGUUUUG
rnacentral:rRNA from 1 species